rnacentral:rRNA from 1 species
UACGUAGGGGGCAAGCGUUGUCCGGAAUCAUUGGGCGUAAAGCGCGUGUAGGCGGUUCGUCGCGUCGGCUGUGAAAACCCGGAGCUCAACUCCGGGCCUGCAGUCGAUACGGGCGGACUUGAGUGUUGCAGGGGAGACUGGAAUUCCCGGUGUAGCGGUGAAAUGCGCAGAUAUCGGGAGGAACACCGGUGGCGAAGGCGGUUCUCUGGGCCUUACCUGACGCUGAGGAGCGAAAGCGUGGGGAGCGAACAGG